UCAUGUGAGGGUGAUCUCACUUCAACAUCUGCCACCCACUGAUCACCAGGGUUGAUUCAGCUGAUGUCUGGCUACGCGGGUGUCCCCUUUCUCCACUGUUCCACGUGUAGCCCUCCUCAAGUUGAAAACUUGGUUGAAGAGGAUGACCUUCCCUGAUAGGAAAGGACCAUUCUUUAAUAAAGGUGUGCAAGUAGCUCUGUAAGCUCUCAAGGUAAAGGUGUCUCCUGCACUGCCAGUCUUAUAGUCAAUCACUGCAAAUAGCAAGAAGCCUAAUU
rnacentral:snRNA from 1 species